rnacentral:sRNA from 1 species
CUAUCCUGGCAGCAGCUGGACUUGCAGCAGCUGGACUGGCAGCAGCAGGGCUUGCAGCAGCUGGACUGGCAGCAGCAGGGGUUGCAGCAGCUGGACUUGCAGCAGCUAUCCUGGCAGCAGCUGGACUUGCAGCAGCUGGACUGGCAGCAGCAGGGCUUGCAGCAGCUGGACUGGCAGCAGCAGGGGUUGCAGCAGCUGGACUUGCAGCAGCUAUCCUGGCAGCAGCUGGACUUGCAGCAGCUGGACUGGCAGCAGCAGGGUUU